AUUGAACGCUGGCGGCAGGCCUAACACAUGCAAGUCGAACGAGUGGCGGACGGGUGAGUAAUGUCUGGGAAACUGCCUGCUGGAGGGGGGUAACUACUGGACACGGUAGCUAAUACCGCAUACCAUCAGAUGUGCCCAGAUGGGAUUCGCUGGUUGGUUGGGUAACGGCUCACCAAGGCGACGAUCCCUAGCUGGUCUGAGAGGAUGACCAGCCACCCUGGAACUGAGACACGGUCCAGACUCCUACGGGAGGCAGCAGUGGGGAAUAUUGCACAAUGGGCGCAAGCCUGAUGCAGCCAUGCCGAGUUGAGGAAGAAGGCCUUCGGGUUGUAAAGUACUUUCAGCGGGGAGGCGUUACCCGCAGAAGAAGCACCGGCUAACUCCGUGCCAGCAGCCGCGGUAAUAC
rnacentral:rRNA from 1 species